AAUAGGGUGGAGGGUGGAGACGUUGAUGUCGAAAACGAAGACAAUGACGACGACGACGACAUCAUUCCACCCACUCCCCCUCACUCACGAUCAAGGAGGCGUCGGCGCCCUAGAAAGCCUCGUAGACGUUCGCGAAAGUCCCCAUUAAUAUUAAUUAUUAAUAAUUAUAAUAUUAAUAUUAAUAUUAGUGAUGUUAAUAUUAAUAAUUAAUAUUAAUAAAUCCUAUUUCCGUCCUACACUCAUAUCAAGUACAUUUAAUUCGGACGCGAUUUUCCAAAUUUUAACAUCAUACUACCUACAACACGAUGGCAAGCAUGCUGCUCCUCCUCGAGGUCUUGCUGGAUACCUAUCUUUAAACACAAAAAAAUAUAUAUUUAUAUAGUAUAAAUAAAUGUCUUUCAAAGAUAGUAACAGAAGGCAGCAAAUUUAUAAUUAAACUUUAUUAGUAACCUGUUUAAUUUAUUGAUUCAUAUUUUCAUAAGAAAAUGCAUCACUGUGAAAACUGUAAUAAAUAAUUUACAACCCGUCAAUCACGACUACGCCACGAAAAGCUCUAUUGUCAAGUGGUCAAAAAACAGGAAAAUGGAGGACCGGCCGCCAAAAAACAGAAAAUAUGUCAUUCAACUGCUAGCAACAAUUAUAUGUGCGUUACAUGUAAUCAAGAAAUUGCUCCAAAGCUUAUUACGGCUCAUGAGAGAAGUAGACAGCAUAGAAAUAAUUGUCAAAGUACUCCCUUGGAGGAUGGGGUGUUUGCACUCAGCAGUGCAUUUAAAUCACGCAUCGCUUCAUAUAGGAUUUGUGAUAAGGGCGAUUAUAUCGAUUUAAAUGAAUUUAUGGAUAAAAUUCACAAUAAAUUACUUGGACUUAUUGUUUCACAAAUUGAAAAAUUUAGUACAAUCAAAAUUAAUUUGGAAUUAUUUGGAUUGUAUACCAUUGAGUCAAAAAAUAUAUUUGAUGUAAAAUCUUUCAAUACUACUAACAGAAUUGUCACUUUAGGCACGAAUAUUAGGAAUAUGUUGCAUGAUUGUCAAGAAGUUAUUAGUCAAAAAAUGAUGGAUUUUUUGGAACGAGAUUCAGGUAGUUAUCUUACAUCUUACAGUAUUUUUAUUUGUAUUCUGUAAGUCAACAAUGAAACUUGUGCAACAAAAAGAUUUAUUAAAAAUUUCUAAUCACGA